GAGUUUGAUCCUGGCUCAGAACGAACGCUGGCGGCGUGCUUAACACAUGCAAGUCAGGGAGAAAGUCUCUUCGGGGAUGAUUAAACCGGCGCACGGGUGAGUAACACGUGAGUGACCUGCCUUUUAGACUGGAACAACUUACCGAAAGGUGAGCUAAUGCCGGAUGAGUUAUAUAAGUGCAUGUUUAUAUAGGAAAAGUUGGGGAGACCUGACGCUGAAAGAUGGACUCGCGUCCCAUUAGCUAGUUGGUAGGGUAAUGGCCUACCAAGGCGACGAUGGGUAGCCGGCCUGAGAGGGUGGCCGGCCACACUGGGACUGAGACACGGCCCAGACUCCUACGGGAGGCAGCAGUGGGGAAUUUUGCGCAAUGCUCGUAAGAGUGACGCAGCGACGCCGCGUGAAUGACGAAGGCCUUCGGGUCGUAAAGUUCUUUCGACAGGGAAGAAAAUGCCUAUAAGUAACUGUGUAUGUAUUGACGGUACCUGUAUAAGCAGCCCCGGCUAACUCCGUGCCAGCAGCCGCGGUAAUACGGAGGGGGCGAGCGUUGUUCGGAGUGACUGGGCGUAAAGAGCACGUAGGCGGUGUUGUAAGUCAUUAGUCAAAGACUAGAGCUCAACUUUAGUAAGGCUAGUGAUACUAUAAUACUAGAGUAUCAGAGAGGAUUGCAGAAUUCCUGGUGUAGCGGUGAAAUGCGUAGAUAUCAGGAGGAAUACCGUUAGCGA
rnacentral:rRNA from 1 species